GAUGAACGCUGACAGAAUGCUUAACACAUGCCAGUCUUUGGUGAAGCUGUGCUUGCACAGCCUAGCCAAGGCGGACGGGGGAGUAACGCGUAAGGAACUUGCCCUCCAGUCAGGGAUAACAGACGGAAACGACUGAUACGACUUGGUGAAGUCAGCCGGACCCAUGUCCAGCCUGAUGAAAAGAGAUGCCGCAGGAGAGCCUUGUGUCCUCUUAGCUUGUUGGUGGGGUAACGGCACACUAAGGCAAUGUUAGGUAGUCGGCCUGAGAGGGUGGACGGCCACAAGGGGAGUGAGAUACGGCACAUACUCCUGGGAGAGGCAGGAGUGGGAAAUAGUGGACAAGGGGGGCAACUCUGAUACAGAAAUUCUGUGUGGAAGAUGAAGGUUUUCGGAGUGUAAAGUGCUUUCAGCAGAGAAGAAAAAAAUGACGGUACCGGCAGAAGAAGCGACGGCUAAAUACGUG
rnacentral:rRNA from 1 species